UUCAACUGUAGAAUACCUGCCACCACCUCUAGAUCAAUCCUGACCUUCUCCUGGGUCAUAUGAUAAACUCUCCCAUUGAUCCUCUCUCCAUGACCUCAGGGGGCUUCGCGGGGAAAGGAAUGCGGUAGCAAACAAGAUGAAGGGAAAGCUAGAGCCAUCAUAGCGUCAAAAACUGAUUGAGGAAAGAAAGAAUCUGAAAGAAGGACUUGCAACUUUGGAAGAAGACCUGGUUGAACUUACAGAUGAGCUUCAGAUGGAAGCGCAAUGUAUACCUAACAUGACUCAUCCACAUGCUCCGAUUGGAGAAAAAGAUAGUUCAACAGUGAGAGCGAUGGUUUGCUCUAUCAAUGAUAGUGAUCAAUGCCACAUUAGCACUGCAGAGAUUCCUUUGGGAGGAAUUCACAUGGAUGCUAUCCUUGCCAAGUCACUGUUUUCAUUGAAGUAUGUGGCGUUUUCCCAUUGCUUCCGUACAGAGGCUGUUGCUGCAGACACGGCAACUAGGUAUAUUAUCUGGCUUUUUUCAUUUGUAUGACAGUUGUCUGAUACUCUGACUAGAUGCAAAGUUUCUCAUAUCAAUACUCCAUUCUUCAUGGUGGGGUUCCUCCAUUCAGGAAUAUCAGUGUUCAUAUUCAACUCUCAUGUCUUGGCUAAUUGCCAAAUCAUAUAUUCAUGGCCUUGCUACUUUUGUUACUGAUAACAGCAAUUCAGUAUUAAUUACUGUUUAGGUUCCUUACAAAUGGAAAAAUCCAAUGAUCAUGCAUCUCCUUUACACUGCCCACCCGCAGUUUGUUGCUGGUCCCGCUUUUUCAAACACCACUUCUCUCCUUAAAGUUAUAUGCUGGCUUGGUGAAUUGCCAAGGUGCCAAAUUUAUUCAGGGCCUUGAUAGUUUCUACUUGGUUGAAUCUUCAUGCCUUUUUAUUAAAAGCACGAGAGAUAUGCAAUAGACGUGAGUGCACUGAAUUAGUUGGGCAGCAGAAGGUGCGUUGGAUGUAACCAUUAUUGGCGAUGACAUUCGUCUUCAUCAAGCCAUUAAUUUUCAACAAGCAGCAAGCACAAGGCUACAGAAUGGCAGAGUUUGGAGUUGACACCAAGCCUGGCUUUCAUCCAUGUAGCUUGGAGGAAGAAUUACAACAUCAGAGGUCGGUAAAUGAAGAAAGAAGAAUUACAACUUCAGGUUUUGAUAAUUGGAGGCAUUCUCUAAAUUGAGUUUUUAUAUUGUAGGGUCAUCUGUUGAUUUGUUUAUACCACAAACCACAUUAUAGCGAGUACCCGCGUGGCGUGGGACAACGAGGAGAAUCGGAAACUAGAAAGAUGGAUGUAGUGUUCCAAGAAGCUGAAAUCACA